AUGGCGGCACCAACAAUAACAGCGGCAACAACAACACUGGCAACAACAACAACGGCAGAACUAACAACAACAACACAGGCAACAACGACGGCACCACCAACAACAACACUGGAACCAACAGCAACGGCGGCACCAACAACAACUACACUGGCACCAACAACAAUGAGAGCACCAACAACAACAACGGCACUAACAACAGCAACACUGACACCAACAACAACGACGGCACCACCAACAACAACACUGGAACCAAUAGCAACGGCAGCACCAACAACAUCGACGGCACUAACAACAGCUACAGUGGCACCAACAACAACGAAGGCACUAACAACAACACUGAUACCAACAACAACAACAAUGGCACCAACAACCACUUCUGUGGCACCAACAACAAGACUGGCACCAACAAUAUCGGUGGCACCAACAACACUGGCACCAACAACAACAAAGGCGACAACACCAACAACAACAAAGGCGGCACCAACAACACCAACAACAACAAAGGCAACACCAACAACAACAUUGGCAACAACAACAACAUUGGCAACAACAACACCGAAACCAACAACAAAGCCGACAACACCAACAACGCCAAAAACAGUAACAACACAGAAACCAACAACAAAACCAAAACCACCAACAACAACGCCAAAACCAGCAACAACACCAAAAACAGUAACAACACGGAAACCAACAACAACGCCAAAAACAGCAACAACACAUAAACCAACAACAACGGCAAAAACAGUAACAACACGUAAACCAACAACAACGCCAAAAACAGAAACAACACGGAAACCAACAGCAAUGCCAAAACCACCAUCAACGCCAAAAACAGUAACAACACGUAAACCAACAACAAAGCCAAUAACAGUAACAACACGGAAACCAACAACAAAGCCAAUAACAGUAACAACACUGAAACCAACAACAAUGUCGGAACUUGUAAAUCGUGAGAUGUCACUGGCAAUAGACGAGACUUACGAUGCAAGCCUGAAUAACCGAAACAGUGACAAAUUCAAGAAAUACAAAGCAGAUAUUGAGGAGGCAGUAAGUGUUGCAUAACACAUCUUGUACUACAUGCCAUUUGAAUGAUAUCAGUGUUUUUGUAUAUAUAUAUUAAUUCAGCCAUGUAGUAAAAUUCUCAUAUAUUUUACUUGAAAAUAAUAUGAGUCAACACUGUAAAUAAGUGGAUGAAUGUAGAGAGAAAAGUACUUUACAUUAAAAAAAAAAAACCAUAACAGUAACUUCAUUGUGAUAACACAAUAUUAAAAGCAGUUUAAAAAAAAAAUCUGACACAGCUUUGUCUCAUGUAGAUCCACAACAGCUACAAGAAUGUAAAAGGUUUCAUUUCUGCUACUGUCACUGGUUUUAGGUAGGAAUUUUUUUUCUCCCUAAAAUUUCUGCUUGGAUAUGGUCAUUAUAUGUUUUUUUAGUUAAAAUGCAUUUGUUUUUGUGUUUGACCAGGCCUGGAAGUGUGAUUGUAGAAUUCUUUAUUAAAUCAUCUGAGGAGAUAAAGACUUCUGAGGAGAUAAGCCAAGCAGUUUACACCAACAUGAUAGCCCUCAAUUUCAAUGUUGAUCCACUUUCAGUCGCUAAAACUGGUAAAAGAAAAUGCUGUACUUUUCUUUAGAACAAAUAUGCAAAAUUAUGUCAGAUAUGCAAGAGACAAAAGAGCAACAUCCACAUCUGUCCAUAUGUUCCAGAUAAGAUAGACAUGCGGAAAAGAGACACUGUGUUUCCUGAACAAAAGAUGACACUCUCCUGCCCUGACAUCAACCGCAUUGGGAAUAUAGACUGGAGAUUUCAAGGAGAAAAAAUACAGCCAAGCAGUCUUUAUAGUUUCACACCAGAUCGCCUUAACCUUACAGUAAAGAGUGUUAACAUCAGUAAUAAUGGUGAGUCUUUGCACCCAUGGCAGAUCUAAGUCACUGAAAGAUCUGGUAUAUGAUCUCAUUUGUGCUAGAUAAACAUCUGUAUGUAGAUUUCAACAAACCAACAGCAUAAAAU
rnacentral:lncRNA from 12 species